CACAGUAUUAGGGUUAAGUAUUAAGGAACUGUAUAGUAUCAGGGUUAGGUAUUAGAGAAGUUUACACAGUAUUAGGGUUAAGUAUUAAGGAAGUGUAGAGUAUCAGGGUUAGGUAUUAGAAAAGUGUACACAGUAUUAGGGUUAAGUAUUAAGUAAGGGUAGAGUAUCAGGGUUAGGUAUUAGAGAAGUGUACACAGUAUUAGGGUUAAGUAUUAAGGAAGUGUAGAGUAUCAGGGUUACGUAUUAGAGAAGUGUACACAGUAUUAGGGUUAAGUAUUAAGGAAGUGUAGAGUAUCAGGGUUAUGUAUUAGAGAAGUGUACACAGUAUUAGGGUUAAGUAUUAAGGAAGUCUAGAGUAUCAGGGUUAGAUAUUAGAGAAGUGUACACAGUAUUAGAGUUAAGUAUUAAGGAAGUGUAGAGUAUCAGGGUUAGGUAUUAGAGAAGUGUAUACAGUAUUAGGGUUAAGUAUUAAGGAUGUGUAGAGUAUCAGGGUUAGAUAUUAGAGAAGUGUACACAGUAUUAGGGUUAAGUAUUAAGGAAGUGUAGAGUAUCAGGGUUAGGUAUUAGAGAAGUGUACACAGUAUUGGGGUUAAGUAUUAAGGAAGUGUAGAGUAUCAGGGUUAGGUUUUAGAGAA